CCUUACCCGCUGAACUUAAGCAUAUUAUUAAGCGGAGGAAAAGAAACUAACCAGGAUUCCCUCAGUAAGGGCGACUGAAGCGGGAAGUGCUCAGGAUGUGAAUCUGCGCUAUGCGCCGAAUUGUGGUCUGUAGACGGUGGCAUUACCAGCCGGGCCAAGUCCCUUGGAACAGGGCAGCUGAGAGGGUGAGACUCCCGUCCGCCCGGCAGGAUGAGCUACUAGUCAACGAGUCGAGUUGUUUGGGAUUGCAGCUCAAAGCGGGUGGUAAAUUCCAUCUAAAGCUAAAUACUGGUGAGAGACCGAUAGCGUACAAGUACCGUGAGGGAAAGAUGCAAAGAACUUUGAAAAGAGAGUUAAAGAGUACCUGAAAUCGCUGAAAGGGAAGCGAAGGAAACCAGUGUUUGCGUAGUCAUACUUCCCGGGCCGCUUGCGGUCUGGGCGCUGUGGCUGUGCUUGUGUUUUGCUUGGUUGGAACGUGCGGAAGAGCGGUGAGGGAGUUGACCUCAUUUGCUAGCGUUCGUUUCGACCGAGGAGGACGAAAUGGUUUUCUUUACCCCGUCUUGAAACACGGACCAAGGAGUCUAACAUAUGUGCGAGUACAGGGGUGGCAAACCCCCGUGCGCAAUGAAAGUGAUAGUGGCUGGAUAUUUGCACAGUCCGCCGGCCCCAAUCCUUCGGGAGAAUGGUCUGAGUGUGAGCACGUAUGUUGGGACCCGAAAGAUGGUGAACUAUGCCUGAAUAGGGCGAAGCCAGGGGAAACUCUGGUGGAGGCUCGUAGCGAUUCUGACGUGCAAAUCGAUCGUCAAAUUUGGGUAUAGGGGCGAAAGACUAAUCGAACCAUACUAGUAGCUGGUUCCCUCCGAAGUUUCCCUCAGGA
rnacentral:rRNA from 1 species